AUUGAACGCUGGCGGCAUGCCUUACACAUGCAAGUCGAACGGUAACAGGUUAAGCUGACGAGUGGCGAACGGGUGAGUAAUGUAUCGGAACGUGCCCAGUCGUGGGGGAUAACUGCUCGAAAGAGCAGCUAAUACCGCAUACGACCUGAGGGUGAAAGCGGGGGAUCGCAAGACCUCGCGCGAUUGGAGCGGCCGAUAUCAGAUUAGGUAGUUGGUGGGGUAAAGGCCUACCAAGCCUACGAUCUGUAGCUGGUCUGAGAGGACGACCAGCCACACUGGGACUGAGACACGGCCCAGAUUCCUACGGGAGGCAGCAGUGGGGAAUUUUGGACAAUGGGCGCAAGCCUGAUCCAGCAAUGCCGCGUGCAGGAAGAGGGCCUUCGGGUUGUAAACUGCUUUUGUCAGGGAAGAAAUCUUCUGGGUUAAUACCUCGGGAGGAUGACGGUACCUGAAGAAUAAGCACCGGCUAACUACGUGCCAGCAGCAGCCGCAGUAA
rnacentral:rRNA from 1 species